rnacentral:rRNA from 1 species
AGAAUCAACGCUGGCGGCGUGCCUAACACAUGCAAGUCGAACGAGAAAGUGGAGCAAUCCAUGAGUAAAGUGGCGACCGGGUGAGUAACACGUGACUAACCUACCCUACAGUGGGGGAUAACUUCGGGAAACCGAGGCUAAUACCGCAUAACACCUACGGGUAAAAGGAGCAAUUCGCUUAAGGAGGGGGUCGCGGCAGAUUAGUUAGUUGGCGGGGUAAUGGCCCACCAAGACGGUGAUCUGUAUCCGGCCUGAGAGGGCGCACGGACACACUGGAACUGAAACACGGUCCAGACUCCUACGGGAGGCAGCAGUGGGGAAUUUUGCGCAAUGGGGAAACCCUGACGCAGCAACGCCGCGUGGAGGAUGAAGUCCCUUGGGACGUAAACUCCUUUCGAUCGGGACGAUUAUGACGGUACCGGAGAAGAAGCCCGGCUAACUUCGCGCCAGCAGCCGC